rnacentral:rRNA from 1 species
AUUCGUUUCGAGCAAUCGGAACUACCGAAAGGGCUGCUAAUACCCAAUAAUACUAUAGGUGCAAAAGCACUUGUGGUCAAAUGCUAGGAAUUCUGUUCCUUGUGCUUAAAGAGGGGUUAAUGUCCUAUCAGCUAGUUGGUGGGGUAAUGGCCUACCAAGGCAAAGACGGGUAGCCGGCUUGAGAGGGUGGUCGGCCACACUGGGACUGAGACACUGCCCAGACUCCUACGGGAGGCUGCAGUCGAGAAUCUUUCGCAAUGCCCGAAAGGGUGACGAAGCGACGCCGCGUGUGGGAAGAAGGCCUUCGGGUUGUAAACCACUGUCGGGAGUUAGGAAAUGCAGGUGCGUUAAUAGCGCACUUGCUUGACUAAGGCUCCAGAGGAAGCCACGGCUAACUCUGUGCCAGCAGCCGCGGUAAUACAGAGGCGGCAAGCGUUGUUCGGAAUUAUUGGGCGUAAAGAGCACGUAGGCGGCCUUGCAAGUCAGUUGUGAAAGCCUUCCGCUUAACGGAAGAACGGCAUCUGAUACUACAGGGCUUGAGUACGGGAGGGGAGAGUGGAACUUCUGGUGGAGCGGUGAAAUGCGUAGAUAUCAGAAGGAACGCCGGCGGCGAAAGCGACUCUCUGGUCCGAAACUGACGCUGAGUGUGCGAAAGCUAGGGGAGCAAACGGGAUUAGAUACCCCGGUAGUCCUAGCCGUAAACGAUGGGCACUAAGUAGAGGGGUUUU